GAAUUACCUGCAUCCCUCUCUCUUUGCCUCCAAGAAGUGUAACCGACUUGAAGAGCUGAUGAAGCCCUUGAAGGUAGUGGACCCAGAUCAUCCCCUCGCAGCGCUUGUUCGUAAGGCACAGGCUGACAGUUCCACUCCCACCCCACACAACGCAGACGGUGCGCCUGUGCAGCCCUCCCAGGUGGAGUACACGGCAGACUCGACCGUGGCAGCCAUGUAUUACAGCUACUAUAUGCUACCGGACGGCACUUACUGCCUGGCGCCGCCCCCUCCCGGAAUCGAUGUGGCUACUUACUACAGCACCCUUCCUGCUGGCGUGACCGUGUCUGACUCCCCUGGAGUGACAACCACUGCCCCACCACCUCCUGGGACCACACCACCACCGCCCCCAACCACGGCGGAGACUAGCAGCGGGGCCACCUCCACAACCACCACCACAAGGUAGGUGCAGCAUCCACCGCCGCCUGCUGUGUGAGUCACUCAGCACUGCAGUCACUGGGGCCGUCUGUGUCUCCAUGGGGGGCUUGUAAUCUAGAUCACAUACGGGGUCCCCAUUAUCUGAAUAG
rnacentral:sRNA from 1 species